CCUACGGGGGACAGCAGUGAGGAAUAUUGGUCAAUGGCCGUAAGGCUGAACCAGCCAAGUCGCGUGAAGGAAGAAGGAUCUAUGGUUUGUAAACUUCUUUUAUAGGGGAAUAAAGGUAUCCACGUGUGGAUAUUUGCAUGUACCCUAUGAAUAAGCAUCGGCUAACUCCGUGCCAGCAGCCGCGGUAAUACGGAGGAUGCGAGCGUUAUCCGGAUUUAUUGGGUUUAACGGGUGCGUAGGUUGUUUGUUAAGUCAGCGGUGAAAGGUUGUGGCUCAACCAUAAAAUUGCCGUUGAAACUGGAUGACUUGAGUGUGUUUGAGGGAGGCGGAAUGCGUGGUGUAGCGGUGAAAUGCAUAGAUAUCACGCAGAACUCCGAUUGCGAAGGCAGCUUACUAAGCCAUAACUGACACUGAAGCACGAAAGCGUGGGGAUCAAACAGGAUUAGAGACCCUUGUAGUC
rnacentral:rRNA from 1 species